ensembl:lncRNA
GGAAGAGCAAUUCCCAUUGAAAUGUCAAUGACAAACUGGGCACUGAUGUGAAACCUGAUACAAAAUGCACAGAAAAAUAAGCUUUUGACCCAGUUGAUCCAUUUACAUGAAUUUAAUGGAAUCUAUAAUCCCCCAAAACUGGCUCCUUUCCCAGAUUAUGUAUAAUUUGGGCUAAUCAUAGAAGAAAGCGAUCAGAGGUUAGCAGAAACACCCCUCAGAGACUCCAGAAAAAUCAUCCUGCUGCAAUCUUUCACUCUGAUCUCUUCCCCUGUUCUUCCCAAACAAGUACCUCAAUGCAGUCUUUGUUAUGUGGAGUCCUGAGGUACAGUUUCCCACUGCUGGCGUUCAACUCAUCUUUCCAACUCCAGCUUCCAAACAACACCAACAUCUUUAUUGUUAGAGUUAGGGUGGUAUGGUUAGGUUGUAGUUGGACUCAAUGAUGCUUAAGGUCUUUUCCAACCUGAGCAAUUCUGUGAUUCUAUGAUUCUACCUAUCUGCUCAAAGCUGUAUUUACUGUAACCAACAUUAACUGUAAUCCUUUUCUCAACUGUGUCUUCAGGCUAACUGCCUUAAUACAUAUACAUAACAACAUAUUUCAUAUAUGGCUAUUUAUUUGGGAAAAAACAAAACAAAACAAAACAAAAAAAACCACCAGUAGUUUCUGAUCACAAGAGUUCCAAAAACUUGCAAUUGGAGGCAUGUAAGAUUGAGACAUGGUCAGAAAGAGCAAGUAUAGAAAUCCUGUUCUGUAUGGGAGUCUCUGAAUGAGAUCCUCACCCCUCUACUUGCUUUAUUCUGUUGUGACUACACUGGCUAUGUUUGGCAAUUAGAUUUUGUCCCAAAAAUUGUUCUGUCCAACAAACACACUUGUUUGAACUAUCAGCUUCAACGUUUUUCAGUAGAUUUUGCAAGUCCAGUGUGCGUAAGAGAGUAAAACUUAAAUACAGAGACUGACCUUUUCAUUCUGCAAGCAGAGGUUUCAACAAAGUUGCGUCUGGUUAGAGAUUUCAGAAGAUUUCCUAAGUUUUGAAAGCCUUGGAGGUAUUUGUAAAACAGAGCCUGUUUUUUUACAG